AAUUCUCAACCUCUACCAGCUUUGUUGCUUGGUCUUAGGCUUGGAUUUGGAGGUUUUCUGCGGGCCUGUCAAUGGGCCAGCUCCUCUGAAAUACAUUAGCAGUCUCUCUUUGUGGUUCAAUGACUAUUGGUGUGAUAAACUAUCUACACUUAUGGCUAACCAUGCUCACAAGCUGCUCUCUAACUGUCUGAAAGGACAAUACCAAAUGAAU
rnacentral:misc_RNA from 1 species